rnacentral:rRNA from 1 species
UACAGAGGUCUCAAGCGUUGUUCGGAUUCAUUGGGCGUAAAGGGUGCGUAGGCGGCGCGGUAAGUCGGAUGUGAAAUCUCGGAGCUUAACUUCGAAACUGCAUUCGAUACCGCCGUGCUUGAGGACUGGAGAGGAGACUGGAAUUUACGGUGUAGCGGUGAAAUGCGUAGAUAUCGUAAGGAAGACCAGUGGCGAAGGCGGGUCUCUGGACAGUUCCUGACGCUGAGGCACGAAGGUCAGGGGAGCAAACGGG